rnacentral:tRNA from 1 species
UAGCCUAGUGGUAAGGCUUUGGAUCGUCAAUUCGGAGACGGCGGGUUCGAUUCCCGU